rnacentral:rRNA from 1 species
UACGUAGGGUGCAAGCGUUGUCCGGAAUUAUUGGGCGUAAAGAGCUCGUAGGCGGUUUGUCGCGUCUGCCGUGAAAGUCCGGGGGCUCAACUCCGGAUCUGCGGUGGGUACGGGGCAGACUAGAGUGAUGUAGGGGGAGACUGGAAUUCCUGGUGUAGCGGUGAAAUGCGCAGAUAUCAGGAGGAACACCGAUGGCGAAGGCAGGUCUCUGGGCAUUAACUGACGCUGAGGAGCGAAAGCAUGGGGAGCGAACAGG